GACCGGUUGGCGCAAUGGUAGUAAGUUAACUUCAUAAACAAAAACGAUUACGUCAUUUAUUAACUCGUAUCUGCAGGCGUAUAGACCUCCUACUCCAACACUAUCAUGAUGGUGUGUAGAGGUCAGUCUAGGGUUGCGGGUUCGAGUCCCGUGCUGGUCG